GAAUGGUGAUCACCUAAUUGUUUCUUGUAUCAAGCACAAAGAAGGAGGAAGGCGCAAGUCACUCAAAGGCACAAUCAUCACAAGAUCGCGGUAAAUCUCAUGCUUGAUUGCGGCGCAUUCGGAGCGAACACACAAUUGUCAACCUUUACACGCUUCCGGUUUAUGUUGUUAAUGAUGAAUGGGUCAAAAACUCUGUUUUGUCAUAUGAUGUUAAAUUGUGUUUAGUAUGUUAGUAAGUAGUUAGAACUUUUAAAUCUUUUGGUACAUUUGUACAAAAUUGUCCAUGUUAAA